AUUGAUGACAUUGUAGGAGACAGUUGUAUGAGAGUGGAUCGGGGGAGACAGAGAGACAGAGAGGGAGAAGGGAGGAAGAGGAAAAAAGAUAAAGAGGAAGAAGAGGGAAUGAGAAACAGAGAGAAUCAAAUUGGACUCAGUAAAUUCAAGUCACUAGGUCUCCCUGAGUUCUCAUCACAGGGUAAUAAAUAAAAGAAAAGAAAGAUGGAAGAGCCAGCCAUGGAUGGAUCAGAAAGACAGGUUACUUUAAGAACAGGCUAAGGUGCUACCACUGAGGGAUGAAUCACUGAAGCAUAUUGGGUUAUGAAAGAAUGGGAAGAUAGAAGAGCCAAGUCAUUGCCAGGAAGGGAUGGAUCAGUGAAAGACCUUGGACUGGAGAAAACAGAUUCAAUGAGUUCUAGAAGGUACAGACUCCAAAAGGAAGGGUAAAUGAAAGAAUAGGAAGAUGGAAGAGCCAAGUCAUUGCCAGCAGGGAUGGAUCAGUGAAAGACCUUG